rnacentral:snRNA from 1 species
CAAAUUAUGCAUAAAUACAUGUA